rnacentral:tmRNA from 1 species
UCUAUUUAAAUUUUAACUCUUUACCCUUAUAUAUAGGGAGUCGGGCAACCGACUAUGGCAAUAAACUGUUAUAUGGAAUAAACGUUACGGACCCGGGGGCGGUACCCGGCGCCUCCACCAUUAUCUUAAGUUAUUGAUUAUGGGGGCGAAAUAGGAUCGACGUGCGCAAUAAAGAUAUCGCUUUUGCUCAGCAUGAUACCGCUGUGACGGAUCAAAACUCUACAAAUGCAAACGAUAAUGAAGCAUUUGCUGUAGCAGCUUAAUAAGUUUCGCUACGCGGGGUUCGGUGGGCACCUAGCAACAGAAGCCCACCACU